CUUGGAUAUAGCAUUGUAGGCUUUUUUUACCUUGGUGGGCCCUUGUAAGCCUUCAAUUGGAGUAUUGGAUAUAAGAUUCAUAGAUUUCUUGCUACAUUUAUGUUGACGGGCCAUUGGUUACCACGUUGUUCAUAAACUUGGCCAUUUACUGAAGGGAGAGAAACUAUUUCUCCUAGGAAGGCCCAGGUUGCAUCUAAAAUUUUUUUUAUUCAUCUACAUGAUUAAGGAUCAAGUCCUUACCUGAUUACCAGUGAAACGAAAGAUCAAAUCUCAAUUUAUUUAGAUUAAACCUUCACAGAGGCCUGGAUAUGCAGACCCUCUACUUCGCAUGCACACCAAACACCGCAGGAAAGCAGGAUGAACUCCAAUCCAAUUGCUUUCACAAGCCUACCAAAUGAGGAAGAAGAUGUGCUGGUGUGACACCACACACCAGCAGAUAGGAUGCCCAAGAAGGAUCCAUGCCCAA
rnacentral:lncRNA from 1 species